CCUACGGGGGGCUGCAGUGAGGAAUAUUGGUCAAUGGGCGCGAGCCUGAACCAGCCAAGUCGCGUGAGGGAUGAAGGUUCUAUGGAUCGUAACCCUCUUUUAUAAGGGAAUAAAGUGUGGGACGUGUCCUAUUUUGUAUGUACCUUAUGAAUAAGGAUCGGCUAACUCCGUGCCAGCAGCCGCGGUAAUGCGGAGGAUGCGAGCGUUAUCCGGAUUUAUUGGGUUUAAAGGGUGCGUAGGCGGCAUUUUAAGUCAGCGGUGAAAGUCUGUGGCUUAACCAAAGAAUUGCCGUUGAAACUGGGGGGCUUGAGUGUGUGUGAGGCAGGCGGAAUGCGUGGUGUAGCGGUGAAAUGCUUAGAUAUCAGGCAGAACCCCGAUUGCGAAGGCAGCCUGCCAAGCCAUGACUGACGCUGAUGCACGAAAGCGUGGGGAUCAAACAGGAUUAGAUACCCGAGUAGUC
rnacentral:rRNA from 1 species